GGUUAAGCGACUAAGCGUACACGGUGGAUGCCCUGGCAGUCAGAGGCGAUGAAGGACGUGCUAAUCUGCGAUAAGCGUCGGUAAGGUGAUAUGAACCGUUAUAACCGGCGAUUUCCGAAUGGGGAAACCCAGUGUGAUUCGUCACACUAUCAUUAACUGAAUCCAUAGGUUAAUGAGGCGAACCGGGGGAACUGAAACAUCUAAGUACCCCGAGGAAAAGAAAUCAACCGAGAUUCCCCCAGUAGCGGCGAGCGAACGGGGAGCAGCCCAGAGCCUGAAUCAGUGUGUGUGUUAGUGGAAGCGUCUGGAAAGGCGUGCGAUACAGGGUGACAGCCCCGUACACAAAAAUGCACAUGCUGUGAGCUCGAUGAGUAGGGCGGGACACGUGGUAUCCUGUCUGAAUAUGGGGGGACCAUCCUCCAAGGCUAAAUACUCCUGACUGACCGAUAGUGAACCAGUACCGUGAGGGAAAGGCGAAAAGAACCCCGGCGAGGGGAGUGAAAAAGAACCUGAAACCGUGUACGUACAAGCAGUGGGAGCACGCUUAGGCGUGUGACUGCGUACCUUUUGUAUAAUGGGUCAGCGACUUAUAUUCUGUAGCAAGGUUAACCGAAUAGGGGAGCCGAAGGGAAACCGAGUCUUAACUGGGCGUUAAGUUGCAGGGUAUAGACCCGAAACCCGGUGAUCUAGCCAUGGGCAGGUUGAAGGUUGGGUAACACUAACUGGAGGACCGAACCGACUAAUGUUGAAAAAUUAGCGGAUGACUUGUGGCUGGGGGUGAAAGGCCAAUCAAACCGGGAGAUAGCUGGUUCUCCCCGAAAGCUAUUUAGGUAGCGCCUCGUGAAUUCAUCUCCGGGGGUAGAGCACUGUUUCGGCAAGGGGGUCAUCCCGACUUACCAACCCGAUGCAAACUGCGAAUACCGGAGAAUGUUAUCACGGGAGACACACGGCGGGUGCUAACGUCCGUCGUGAAGAGGGAAACAACCCAGACCGCCAGCUAAGGUCCCAAAGUCAUGGUUAAGUGGGAAACGAUGUGGGAAGGCCCAGACAGCCAGGAUGUUGGCUUAGAAGCAGCCAUCAUUUAAAGAAAGCGUAAUAGCUCACUGGUCGAGUCGGCCUGCGCGGAAGAUGUAACGGGGCUAAACCAUG
rnacentral:rRNA from 1 species